rnacentral:lncRNA from 1 species
UAGUAAGAAAAUGUGGCAUAUGAACAAGAAAACAAUCUUUCCACCACAUGUUCAUUCACAAACUAAUAAUUCUCUAUUUAUCUUUGGGCUCUGCUUCCAUUUCCAUCUAAGAUGCAUCUCCAUCACUUUAUCUCACUAAUACAUAUUUUCCUACGGACCUCAAAUAUACAUACAAGAAUCACACGACAAGGUUGCAUCAUUGUCAUUCCAUCUCUUCUUUCACUUCGGCUCUUUUGGUCAUUGCAACACCAGCGUGCGCCGUCUUCACACUGCUCCAAAUCUGCCCAUGUUUCCAUCCGGCUCCAAAUACGCCCAUUUUUUUCUCUAAGUCAGUCAUGUCGUAACAAAUUUGUACUUUCAGCCUCAAAAUUUCAUUGUUUGGAAUGAGGAGGGAUUUCAGAGUUCACUUCUCUAAAAGAGAAUGCAACACAUAUUGAUACAGAUUAGUGAUGAACAAAAAAUUGCUUCCAUAGAUGUAAAUUACUUCUGUAUGAAAAUAUAUUUUGUUUCAAAUGUUGAUACUCCUUCCUUUUGGAACUUUAGUUUCCUUCAUAUGGUUUUUUCACUUCCUUUUUUUGGAUGGUAACUGUUUCGGGUCAAAUUACUUCUAUGGCAACUAAAUAUUGUUUCCAUAUGGUUAAAUUUUGUUUGUUUGGACUGACCAUAGAAAAUGAUUCCUUGAAUUGGCAAUCGCUUCAAUGUAGUACUCCCUCCGUCCCGCAAUAAGUGACUCAAAAAUGACUCAACUUUGUACUCCUUCCUUCAAUUGGAGUAUAUGUUUUCUUUUCUCAUAGGAAAGGAGAGUGCUUUAAUUUUUUACAGAACAAAAUUGAGAUUGAUUUAUUCUUUAGUUAAAAUUGGUGCCACGAAUAUGUUUCAUGGAAUCUGAGAAUUGUUCCAAACGUAUCGAUAAAGUACUUCCAAUAUAGUAAAAAUUGGCAGUCUGAGGAUUUUGCAUUGAACCUCUUUUAAAAUGGUGAUGAAAGACCACACAUGUUGAAGAUAAGUUUGGCCUUAAUCUAAUCGAGAAACAACUGUUUUUCAUACCAGACAAGCAACUACUCCUCUCUGACUCAAUGUGCCACACCAUUCACUCACCGCUGUAAUCCAUACACAUGUUCAGUACCUUUUGAAUUUUAUGCUCCCGCUUCUCCAUGUGUCAACCCCUUUGUUCCUUGUUGACCCUAGCUUGUCUUGAUGCAACAUCAAGCAACAACAAAAUAUUACACCUGAUACGACAUCAAGCUAUACAGGAACUAUUAGACCACCCAAAUUAUUGAAGCUUCAGAAUUUGUGUCUGGGUCCAUGCCUAAUAAACUGGAAGAAAACCAAAAGAUACUUAUUGAUAUGAAUCAACUUGGUUAAGUAUGGUCAAAUACAAUGCACGGUGGAAUAUCUGCCCUAGAAAACAAAAGAAAAGGAGAUGGAAGAAAUCAUGCACUCAAUGGGUGGCUGUAAGUUCACGGGUAUCAAGACUUGGCUCACAUAUCAUUGAUCAUGGGUCUGUGUCAAUAUGGCUCUGGUGCCCAGUUUAUCACGGUGUUUUGUUAUUAUUUCCGAGAUAGUACUUUCUAUUAUAGUGUUGAGAUAAGCAAUUUAGAUGUUUUAAAUAUUCCCAGCUCUUUGGAUAAGAAGUAUUUCAGUAACUGAAUAAUCUUUGACCGUCCAAAAGAACUAUGAUGUUUCUUUGGGAAUAACAACAGAACAAAAAAUCCGAGAAUCAUGGCUGACCUAUGAGGCGCAGAUGUUGUCGAGGACCUAUAACCAUGCCUCCUAUCCUUUGCGCAACCUUGAAACCACGAGUAAUUACCUGGCAUUAUUUCAUUAUCUCAGCUGGUUUUAUGACUUCGAACAUAUGAGAGUAGUCUAACAUGUAAAAUAAUUCUUUCUCAGGUUCCAAAUAAGUCAACAGUAGGUCAAAAGUAGAGGUGAAACAUUGCCAGGCAGACAGACACACAACAAUAGCCGAUGAUUAUAGCUUAAGGUCCAAUGAGGAUAAUAUAAGUAGUGGAAAACGGAAUUUUGUAUCCACAUCCCUAUUGAUCAAGGAGUAAGUCAACAUGAUACAAGGAACGUACAACAACACCCGAGACAAUAUAAUUACAACACUGCAGAAAAAUUAGAGAUCCAUGUAAUCAAAUAUCUCUUUGUUAAAUUUUAGCUGAACAACUUAACUUAUAGAGUGUCGAUGGUUCAGAUCUUUUUCCUUUUAAUUAACAUGUGAGUUAUUAUAAAGUGGGUAAUUUCUUUUUGCGGUAUAUAAAGUGGGUAAUUCAUAUAGACUAAGACAUGGAAAAAGGGUGUAGGUGGUGCAAAUUCAUAGCAAGUUUUAUAUUGGAUGCACACAAACAACUGUGUGGACACACAAAAAGAAAACAAUCACUUUGAAAGUUUGAAUAGAAAUGUCUAAAUGAACAUCAGAUGGUCUAGUGUCUCCACUGAGAGCACUACAUGGACCCCUCAUUAACAAUUUAGCAAUGAAUAAACAAUUCUAGUAUUUAGACAUGAGAAUACCUUGUACAGAAUUUCAAAGCCAUAAAAAACGUUACCACUGGUUUGGGUAUCCUGGAAAUAAAACAGAGGUAAUAAAUUCCUUAUAACUAAUCAGGUGCACAUAGAAAAUUGAUUACCUCUGGUUUGAUCCCAUGUGCUCUAGCCAAAAAUAGAUCAAAUCGGCAGGAUAUCCUAUAAGGAAACAAAUCUAGCAAGGAAACUGAUUAUUAUUAUAUCUAAUUUCCAGCUACCAGUGGUAGGCGCAAAGUGGAACACUAUUACGCAGGACAACAAAUUUGGGCAGGAGGAAGUAUAAUGGUUAUGAAUGCCAGGCAAAGUGUUUUAAGUUCAUAACUAUGAGCAUGCAAAUAAUUUAUAUGAAGGGUCCCUUUUCUUCUGCAUAAGUCAGACAUACUUUAUGUAUGUGUAAUGUGUCAACCUGUACACAAAUACAAAAUAUAUAUUACAACGGAAAAUGCGUGAAUAUGAUGAUGAAUAUCUUAUUCUGAACUCUUUUGCAUCUUUUAUAAUGGACAGGGAUUGAGAUUCUAAUUUCGACACUACUGGAGAGUAUGUUGUGUGCAAAACGAAACUACAUGCAUUAAUCUACAUGAUUGUUCGUACCAACAGAGAAACAAUUUUGCAUCUAGUAGAUGUGUGUAUGUUUCAGGGUUACUUUCACAAUAUUUAGUUGCUAUAGAAAAAACACUUAAGGCUAGCAAAUAGAAUUAACCUAGUACAUAGAAAGUAGAGAACUGAUCGUUGCAGUAAAUUAUGAACUGAUAUCACACAUAAAACAGUAACAUACCCCAAAAUCUAUUCCUCGCAGCUCUCCACAAGUCUUCCUUCGCCCUCUUCUGCUCCACCAACCCCUGUUAUGAUUUCUCUCCCCUUAAAUCACUCUUCUUACUCCGCAUACCAUCUCUGUCUCCCUAGCCCAAACAUGCUAGUACCGUCAGUAGCGCGUCCGGCACCCCACGAAAGAAAACACAAUACAACCCACACAUGAAUAAUGAUGUAAACAUACGUGAAAUUAUGAACGCUCCAAGAAAAUCAUUCUGUAAAUAACUUGAAUGGUGUGUUGAUAUGCAGAAACAUCUACUUCUUUACAAGACAUUUACUUGUUUGGAUUGCAAAACAAAUAUUGUUGUAGGAAAUGAUCUAUUGGAAACUGGUACAAAACUUCAAACAUCUUUACUGCUGGACAUAGAACAAGCACACAACAUCCUGUAAUUAUUUAGUUGCAGACGUACAUGCAUGACAGCCAACAUAUAUAAAGUCUUGUGAUGAAUUGUGUUCAAUGGUGAAGAAACUUGCAACAAAGUGUUUCCUAUUAAAUGACCUCCCAAACCCAAUGUUGGUUGGUCCACUCUACUAAGCUGUGCUAUGUCAAUAAUCAAAAGAAAUAUAUGCUUGUUUUACCACUGGCAAUCAUGAAAAGCCGACUGACUUUCGAAUAUAACUUUAUCUGAAGAUUAUGUUAUUUGCCCCGUCGACUUUGUUGCCUAGCUGGACAACCAGUACUGCAGUUGCCUAGAUCCUACCCUCCUACGGACACUUAUGUUCUAAUCUGGAGAUGAGGUGAGUACAAGGGUCACCCAUGGAUAUAUUGUCUAGACGAUGAGGUAGCACAUGAGAUGAAGCAAUGUGUGUACCUGGACGCCGCACUGGUUGAAGCACUUGAUGGCGACUGAUAAGCGCCCCCUGUUGCCGAUAAAAUCAAUUGUUCUUGAC